CCACAGUGAUGCAGGAAGAAGGGAAACUGGAUAACGUGUAGGAUUAUGUUACAUGUAUAGCAGUACGUGUGUAUAAAAACGGCCCCUUAUAAAAGUUAUUGGUUCUAUUUGCAUGUGAGACAGUUAAUUUUCUUCUUGGAUUCUGGUAUGAUGCUAUAAUUUGACUUGAGGAGAAAAACUGUGUUGAUAACACAUUGGUGUUUUAGUUGUCGCUGAGCAGUGUAGUAUAGAGCUAAGAACAUAUCAGUUUUUCAGCUUUUCAUACUGUCCUGCCAGCAAGGGGGUUGGAUGAGCACUGUAAGCUAGGAGGGGACAUAAACAGAACAGCUGACUUAAACUUGCCAAAGGCAUAUUCCAUAUCAUAUCAUACCAUAUCAUGUGGAAAAAAAAAACAGCCAUAAAAACGAGGGGAACUGGCCAGGGAAAUGGCUGCUGCUCAGAGACUGGGUGGGCAUUGGUUGAGAGAUGGCGAGCAACUGUGUUGUGCAACACUGAUUUUGUAAAUUUAUGUUACGUUAUUAUCAUUACCAUUGUGAUUUUCCUUUACUGUCUCGAUAAAUAAGUAUUAUACUCUCUAACCAAGAGCUCUAUGUUUUUUUCCCCAAUUCUCUCCUCAUCCUCACUGGAAUUGGAGGAGUGAGUGAGUGACCAGCUGUUUUGCGAGCUGCUUGCCAGAAGUGCUUAAAGGACUGGCACAGUUACCUCCCAUGAACCUUCUCUUCUAUCAAGUCAUGGCUGAGGAUGGUGGGGAGCACAGAAUUGCCUUCCCUCUCCCAGGACUGAGGACCAGGACAUAAACUGCCAGCUCCUUGUCCAAAUUCACAUACAAAUCCAGAAGGACAAACACUAGAUCUGAAGAAGCAUUCAGCAGAAUUGGUGAUGGUUUUGCUUGACUAAUUAGGCCAGCAUUUCCUGUGGUUAGUGUGCAACUUAUUUGAAGAGCAAGAAUAAUCUCUGUACUAGAAGACCCAUUUUUCUAACAUGCAGUAUUUAUUUUACCGAGUUCAACCAGCAGUUCUCUGUGGCUUAAC